rnacentral:rRNA from 1 species
UACGAAGGGGGGCUAGCGUUGCUCGGAAUGACUGGGCGUAAAGGGCGCGUAGGCGGCUCAUACAGUCAGAUGUGAAAUUCCUGGGCUUAACCUGGGGGCUGCAUUUGAUACGUGUGGGCUUGAGUGGGGAAGAGGGUCGUGGAAUUCCCAGUGUAGAGGUGAAAUUCGUAGAUAUUGGGAAGAACACCGGUGGCGAAGGCGGCGACCUGGUCCGUGACUGACGCUGAGGCGCGAAAGCGUGGGGAGCAAACAGG